GGUGAUCCCAUUAGCUUAAUCCUGGGGCAAUUGGGCCCCUGAAGAACUCAAAUUGGGUCGAAUGGUUCAACCCAUUCGGACCCAGGUUGCUGUGGGAGGUGCAACCGCCUGAUCCCGGAAUUCCGGGAUUUGAUCGUUUUGAGCUCCAAAUUUGAACUGGGUUGGGGCCUAUAAAUACCCCACCCAUUCAGCACUGAAAAGAUACAGAACUACACCGAAUUCUUGAUC